GAUAAACGCUGGCGGCGUGCCUAAUACAUGCAAGUCGAGCGAACGGACGAGAAGCUUGCUUCUCUGAUGUUAGCGGCGGACGGGUGAGUAACACGUGGAUAACCUACCUAUAAGACUGGGAUAACUUCGGGAAACCGGAGCUAAUACCGGAUAAUAUUUUGAACCGCAUGGUUCAAAAGUGAAAGACGGUCUUGCUGUCACUUAUAGAUGGAUCCGCGCUGCAUUAGCUAGUUGGUAAGGUAACGGCUUACCAAGGCAACGAUGCAUAGCCGACCUGAGAGGGUGAUCGGCCACACUGGAACUGAGACACGGUCCAGACUCCUACGGGAGGCAGCAGUAGGGAAUCUUCCGCAAUGGGCGAAAGCCUGACGGAGCAACGCCGCGUGAGUGAUGAAGGUCUUCGGAUCGUAAAACUCUGUUAUUAGGGAAGAACAUAUGUGUAAGUAACUGUGCACAUCUUGACGGUACCUAAUCAGAAAGCCACGGCUAACUACGUGCCAGCAGCCGCGGUAAUACGUAGGUGGCAAGCGUUAUCCGGAAUUAUUGGGCGUAAAGCGCGCGUAGGCGGUUUUUUAAGUCUGAUGUGAAAGCCCACGGCUCAACCGUGGAGGGUCAUUGGAAACUGGAAAACUUGAGUGUAGAAGAGGAAAGUGGAAUUCCAUGUGUAGCGGUGAAAUGCGCAGAGAUAUGGAGGAACACCAGUGGCGAAGGCGACUUUCUGGUCUGUAACUGACGCUGAUGUGCGAAAGCGUGGGGAUCAAACAGGAUUAGAUACCCUGGUAGUCCACGCCGUAAACGAUGAGUGCUAAGUGUUAGGGGGUUUCCGCCCCUUAGUGCUGCAGCUAACGCAUUAAGCACUCCGCCUGGGGAGUACGACCGCAAGGUUGAAACUCAAAGGAAUUGACGGGGACCCGCACAAGCGGUGGAGCAUGUGGUUUAAUUCGAAGCAACGCGAAGAACCUUACCAAAUCUUGACAUCCUUUGACAACUCUAGAGAUAGAGCCUUCCCCUUCGGGGGACAAAGUGACAGGUGGUGCAUGGUUGUCGUCAGCUCGUGUCGUGAGAUGUUGGGUUAAGUCCCGCAACGAGCGCAACCCUUAAGCUUAGUUGCCAUCAUUAAGUUGGGCACUCUAAGUUGACUGCCGGUGACAAACCGGAGGAAGGUGGGGAUGACGUCAAAUCAUCAUGCCCCUUAUGAUUUGGGCUACACACGUGCUACAAUGGACAAUACAAAGGGCAGCGAAACCGCGAGGUCAAGCAAAUCCCAUAAAGUUGUUCUCAGUUCGGAUUGUAGUCUGCAACUCGACUACAUGAAGCUGGAAUCGCUAGUAAUCGUAGAUCAGCAUGCUACGGUGAAUACGUUCCCGGGUCU
rnacentral:rRNA from 1 species